rnacentral:rRNA from 1 species
AUUGAACGCUGGCGGCAUGCUUUACACAUGCAAGUCGAACGGUAACAGGCCGCCAGGUGCUGACGAGUGGCGAACGGGUGAGUAAUGCAUCGGAACGUGCCCAGUCGUGGGGGAUAACUACUCGAAAGAGUAGCUAAUACCGCAUACGAUCUAUGGAUGAAAGCGGGGGACCGUAAGGCCUCGCGCGAUUGGAGCGGCCGAUGUCAGAUUAGGUAGUUGGUGGGGUAAAGGCUCACCAAGCCAACGAUCUGUAGCUGGUCUGAGAGGACGACCAGCCACACUGUGACUGAGACACGGCCCAGACUCCUACGGGAGGCAGCAGUGGGGAAUUUUGGACAAUGGGCGCAAGCCUGAUCCAGCAAUGCCGCGUGCAGGAAGAAGGCCUUCGGGUUGUAAACUGCUUUUGUACGGAACGAAACGGCUCUGGUUAAUACCCGGGGCUAAUGACGGUACCGUAAGAAUAAGCACCGGCUAACUACGUG